AGCAAGUUGUCGCCCUGACGUGCAGAAGGCGCGUUGCAUUUGGAAAUUGUUGAAAAGUCGCUUUCGUUUGGAGUAGCGUUUUGAAAAUGCCCACAUCUCUUCCACGUUGUCACCUUUGCCGCAAUUAACGUAAAACAUUGCUGCAGUCCACCAGAACUUCCUUUUUUGAAAAAAAAGAUACCGCACCGAGUAAAUAUACGCUUUGGGUUACUUCAGAGACAGGUGGGAAUCAGUGAACCAGGUCUCCUGGCAUAUCGAACUGCUAACAGUCCGAAACUCUGAGACAACGGAAAUGUGGCUCAUUAUUGACAUAAAUGUUUGAACUGGCUGGACAUCAGUUUUCUGGAUUUGCUCAUUUUCAUGAUCAGUCUUGCAAAACCUGAGUUAGAUGGAGCAAUCACUCAAGAAACUUAACCUCAGUUUUUACAAACAGUUCAACCUGCAAUCUUCAGCAUCAUGUAAGCAGAUGAUCAAAGGAGCUAAGAAUAAAGGCCAAAAUCUUCUGAAACAUUUCCCAAACGACCCCCCAGCAGUGAUUUUAGAAGGGGAAGAUUUACAAAUCAAACAUCACACUUGGAUUUGAUAGAGUCAUCCAAUUUAUCCCAAAUGGAAUGUCAUCGGAUUUUGAAUGUGGAAGGAAUGUGAAAGAUGGUGGUGGAGUAGGAUGCUUCAGCCAGAGUUCGUCCAUUCCAAUCAUUUUUUUUUUUAAAUCUUGUUUCUUCUUGGCACUGUCCUGAAUGCCUGGCCUCACUGCAGACUCAGACCCUUGGCCUCAGCACUGACCCAGCAUGGCAUCCUCUCAGCCCAGUGUGGCUUUUUCUUGGCCCAGCAUGGAAGUCUCUCGGCCCAAUGUGCUGAUCUCCUGGCCUGGCAUGGCCAGGGCAUCGACUUCAGCCUCGAGGCAAGGAUGCCCAAAGGCCGAGUAUAUUGGUGAGACCAUGCAGACAAAGCGACAAUGGAUGUAUGGACACCGUGCAACAAUUACCAAACAAGAAUGUUCCUUCCCAGUCGGUGAACACUUCAGUGGUCAAGGACAUUCAGCUUCCUAUCUUCAGGUAAGCUUCCUCUAAAGCAGACUCCGAGAUGCACAACAACACAGAGUCUCUGAGCAGAGACUGAUAUCCAAGUUCCAUACCUGUGAAGGUGGCUUCAACUGUGAUCUUGGGUUCAUGUCCACUACAUGUGA